GGCCCACACCUAUCAACAUGUCCCAGCUACACUAGUCUAACCUGCCUGCGUUUGGCAAAAGGCGUCUGGAUUAAACCGGAGUCACCGCUUCCCGUCCACCGGCCAUUCCCCCUCAACUCCGAACGGUGGGAUCUCGCUCUCCGCCCGUGGAUGUCCGCAAGACUCUGGCUGCGGUAAAUAAGGACUUUGGCUCGUUAACCCGCUGGAGCCAAGUUGUAUUCCAAUGAAAUAAAUGUAUUUUCAAUGAAAUAAAUGUAUUUUCCAUGAAA